UUGUAGCUCAAUUGGUAGAGCAGCGGUCUCCAAAACCGCAGGUUGGGGGUUCGAGACCCUCCG
rnacentral:tRNA from 1 species